AUGCUUACUAAAAGCAUAAAUUUUUGAAGAUUAGUUAAGCUUCUACAUAUAACAUCAUUAUCAUAUUUGAAUAGCUGAAAUAAUCUUUCAUUCAAAUGAAGAAUUAUUUUUU